rnacentral:rRNA from 2 species
UCUCAUCGCAUGGUGGGGGGUGGAAAGGGUUUGACUGGUUUUGGAUGGGCUCACGGCCUAUCAGCUUGUUGGUGGGGUAAUGGCUCACCAAGGCGACGACGGGUAGCCGGCCUGAGAGGGUGACCGGCCACACUGGGACUGAGACACGGCCCAGACUCCUACGGGAGGCAGCAGUGGGGAAUAUUGCACAAUGGGCGGAAGCCUGAUGCAGCGACGCCGCGUGAGGGAUGACGGCCUUCGGGUUGUAAACCUCUUUCAGCAGGGAAGAAGCCACAAGUGACGGUACCUGCAGAAGAAGCGCCGGCUAACUACGUGCCAGCAGCCGCGGUAAUACGUAGGGCGCAAGCGUUGUCCGGAAUUAUUGGGCGUAAAGAGCUCGUAGGCGGUUUGUCGCGUCUGCUGUGAAAGCCCGGGGCUCAACCCCGGGUCUGCAGUGGGUACGGGCAGACUAGAGUGCAGUAGGGGAGACUGGAAUUCCUGGUGUAGCGGUGAAAUGCGCAGAUAUCAGGAGGAACACCGAUGGCGAAGGCAGGUCUCUGGGCUGUUACUGACGCUGAGGAGCGAAAGCAUGGGGAGCGAACAGGAUUAGAUACCCUGGUAGUCCAUGCCGUAAACGUUGGGCACUAGGUGUGGGGGACAUUCCACGUUCUCCGCGCCGUAGCUAACGCAUUAAGUGCCCCGCCUGGGGAGUACGGCCGCAAGGCUAAAACUCAAAGGAAUUGACGGGGGCCCGCACAAGCGGCGGAGCAUGCGGAUUAAUUCGAUGCAACGCGAAGAACCUUACCAAGGCUUGACAUUCACCGGACUACCCCAGAGAUGGGGUUUCCCUUCGGGGUCGGUGGACAGGUGGUGCAUGGUUGUCGUCAGCUCGUGUCGUGAGAUGUUGGGUUAAGUCCCGCAACGAGCGCAACCCUCGUUCUAUGUUGCCAGCACGUGAUGGUGGGGACUCAUAGGAGACUGCCGGGGUCAACUCGGAGGAAGGUGGGGAUGACGUCAAAUCAUCAUGCCCCUUAUGUCUUGGGCUUCACGCAUGCUACAAUGGCCGGUACAAAGGGUUGCGAUACUGUGAGGUGGAGCUAAUCCCAAAAAGCCGGUCUCAGUUCGGAUUGAGGUCUGCAACUCGACCUCAUGAAGUCGGAGUCGCUAGUAAUCGCAGAU